rnacentral:rRNA from 1 species
UACGUAGGGUGCAAGCGUUGUCCGGAAUUAUUGGGCGUAAAGAGCUCGUAGGUGGUUUGUCGCGUUGUCCGUGAAAACUCACAACUCAAUUGUGGGCGUGCGGGCGAUACGGGCAGACUGGAGUACUGCAGGGGAGACUGGAAUUCCUGGUGUAGCGGUGGAAUGCGCAGAUAUCAGGAGGAACACCAAUAGCGAAGGCAGCUCGCUGGGACGGUACUGACGCUGAGGCGCGAAAGCGUGGGGAGCGAACAGG